rnacentral:rRNA from 1 species
UAGGGAAUCUUCCGCAAUGGACGCAAGUCUGACGGAGCAACGCCGCGUGAGUGAAGAAGGAUUUCGGUUCGUAAAACUCUGUUGUUAGAGAAGAACAGCGCAUAGAGUAACUGUUAUGCGUGUGGCGGUAUCUAACCAGAAAGCCACGGCUAACUACGUGCCAGCAGCCGCGGUAAUACGUAGGUGGCAAGCGUUGUCCGGAUUUAUUGGGCGUAAAGCGAGCGCAGGCGGUCAAUUAAGUCUGAUGUGAAAGCCCCCGGCUCAACCGGGGAGGGUCAUUGGAAACUGGUUGACUUGAGUGCAGAAGAGGGGAGUGGAAUUCCAUGUGUAGCGGUGAAAUGCGUAGAUAUAUGGAGGAACACCAGUGGCGAAGGCGACUCUCUGGUCUGUAACUGACGCUGAGGCUCGAAAGCGUGGGUAGCAAACAGG